AUUUGCUGAAGGAGUUGGAAGGCCAGGUGAAAACAUUUUCCAGACCUGCUGAGAGCUUAUCUUAAACCAUGACCAAGGUCAUUCCAAAAUGAAUCCCCUCUCAUCAUCCCUUUUCCUGGAAUUGCAAGAACUAGAAAAUUUGUGAGUUCAAGUUGGAAAGAGAAGAGACUGGGAAGAAACAAAACGGACAGCUUCACCUCUUGAGCUACAACUCAGCUCCCUGCCUCCUGCACAUGCAAACAUUUGAAUUUCCUCUUGGCUCAGAGCAUAAACAAUCACCUGAAUAUACUGGAAAAAAAAUAUAUAUACAGAUGUCAAAACCCAGCCAGUAA
rnacentral:lncRNA from 1 species